rnacentral:rRNA from 1 species
UACAGAGGGGGCAAGCGUUAUUCGGAAUUAUUGGGCGUAAAGGGCGCGUAGGCGGCUUGGCAAGUGGAUGGUGAAAUCCCUCGGCUUAACCGAGGAACUGCCGUCCAAACUGCUUCGCUUGAGACCGGGAGAGGUGAGUGGAAUUCCCAGUGUAGCGGUGAGAUGCGUAGAUAUUGGGAGGAACACCAGUGGCGAAGGCGGCUCACUGGACCGGUACUGACGCUGAUGCGCGAAAGCGUGGGGAGCAAACGGG